rnacentral:sRNA from 1 species
CAACAGAGCAAACUCCAUCUCAAAACAAAACAAAAAAAACAAAAAUCAAAAAUUAAAAAACAAAAAACUGCUGAUGGGCUGGGUGUGAUGGCUCACUCCUGUAGUCCCAGCACUCUGAGACGAUUCCAUGAGCCCAGGAGUUUGAGGCUGCAGGGAGCUAUGAUGGUGCCACUGCACUCCAGCUUGGGCAUCAGAGUGAGACCUUAUCUCAAAAAUAAAUAAAUAAAGGGAAGGAAAGGAAGAAGAAAAUAAAAACUGCUGGUGGAUGAACAACAGCCUCAUUCAGUUGACUUCUUUUUCCUUCACAAAGACUGACUGGAGCUCUCCCGUGUCAGCUCGUAGCACAGAAGGUGAAGAGCCUGCUGUGGGGCCAGGGCUUCCCAGAUUACGUGGCCCCUUUUGGAAAUUCCCAGGCCCAGGACAUGCUGGACUGGGUGCCCAUCCACUUCAUCACCCAGUCAUUCAACAGGAAGGAUUCCUGCCAGCUGCCAGGGGCUUUGGUUAUAGAAGUGAAGUGGACUAAAUACGGAUCCUUGCUGAAUCCACAGGCCAAAAUAGUCAAUGUAACUGCAAAUCUAAUUUCAUCCUCCUUUCCUGAGGCCAACUCAGGAAAUGAAAGGACGAUUCUUAUUUCCACUGCGGUUACUUUUGUGGAUGUG